AUUGAACGCUGGCGGCAUGCUUUACACAUGCAAGUCGAACGGCAGCGCGGGCUUCGGCCUGGCGGCGAGUGGCGAACGGGUGAGUAAUGCAUCGGAACGUGCCCAGUAGUGGGGGAUAGCCCGGCGAAAGCCGGAUUAAUACCGCAUACUACCUGAGGGUGAAAGCGGGGGACCGAUAGGCCUCGCGCUAUUGUAGCGGCCGAUGUCGGAUUAGCUAGUUGGUGGGGUAAAGGCUUACCAAGGCGACGAUCCGUAGCUGGUCCGAGAGGACGACCAGCCACACUGGGACUGAGACACGGCCCAGACUCCUACGGGAGGCAGCAGUGGGGAAUUUUGGACAAUGGGGGCAACCCUGAUCCAGCCAUGCCGCGUGCGGGAAGAAGGCCUUCGGGUUGUAAACCGCUUUUGUUCGGGAAGAAAUCCUCUGGGCUAAUACCCCGGGGGGAUGACGGUACCGGAAGAAUAAGCACCGGCUAACUACGUG
rnacentral:rRNA from 1 species